rnacentral:rRNA from 1 species
CGCCCUUCAGGCCUAACACAUGCAAGUCGGACGGCAGCGCGGGGGCAACCCCGGCGGCGAGUGGCGAACGGGUGAGUAAUACAUCGGAACGUGUCCUGGAGUGGGGGAUAGCCCGGCGAAAGCCGGAUUAAUACCGCAUACGAUCUGAGGAUGAAAGCGGGGGACCGCAAGGCCUCGCGCUCAAGGAGCGGCCGAUGGCGGAUUAGCUAGUUGGUGGGGUAAAGGCCCACCAAGGCGACGAUCCGUAGCUGGUCUGAGAGGACGACCAGCCACACUGGGACUGAGACACGGCCCAGACUCCUACGGGAGGCAGCAGUGGGGAAUUUUGGACAAUGGGGGCAACCCUGAUCCAGCAAUGCCGCGUGUGUGAAGAAGGCCUUCGGGUUGUAAAGCACUUUUGUCCGGAAAGAAAACUUCGUCCCUAAUAUGGAUGGAGGAUGACGGUACCGGAAGAAUAAGCACCGGCUAACUACGUGCCAGCAGCCGCGGUAAUACGUAGGGUGCGAGCGUUAAUCGGAAUUACUGGGCGUAAAGCGUGCGCAGGCGGUGAUGUAAGACCGAUGUGAAAUCCCCGGGCUUAACCUGGGAACUGCAUUGGUGACUGCAUUGCUGGAGUAUGGCAGAGGGGGGUGGAAUUCCACGUGUAGCAGUGAAAUGCGUAGAGAUGUG